UUCGUUGUAGCUCAGUGGCAGAGCGUACCGGUCGAUACCGGGAAGGUCGUGGGUUCAAUUCUCAUCAGCGAUA
rnacentral:tRNA from 1 species